CCAGCGCCCGCGCCGCCUGGACCGCCGCGCCGUCCACGCGCCGCCAGGACACAGCCCACGCGGGAGCUCCACGCUGCAGAACGGUUUAGACAUGGUAUUGGCUGAUGAUAAAUUCGCUACAAUUGUUGCAGUAAGAUUCACCCUGUGUCGCAGUGGCUUAUAAUUGAUGAAGCUGAUCGCAAACUUGUGCCAAAUUUUGAGGAGGACAUGAAACAAAUAUUUAAGUGCCUCCCUCGGGCUCUCUGCUCGAAAUGUCUGCUGAGCAUCUUCUUCAUUGAGCCAAAAUCAAUUGCUUGGUGCAGUUUCAGAUUGUUCUUACUAUCCAAUACUAAUUUAUAAAUGGCUACAAUCUCAAGAAGGUUCCGCCGAUUCUAGAAGCACACGGCUGAAUGGAAUCCAACGGAACCAAUGCUACAUCAGGGUGCACUGUUCAAGCAUUUUGAUUGGCCCGGGAGAAAUGAGGACACUGCAUCAGACAACCUUUUGCUUACUAACCUCUUAAAUAUUUGAAGUGAGUUCCAGUUCUUGAUUUUUCAAGAAACUGAAGAGGAGCGUUUGAGGAAAGAGGAGAAGUGGGAGGCACAGGAAGCAAAGAAUUGGAGAAGGGAGAGGGAAAAGGAGAAGUUUCUCAAGAAGAGUACUAGAAACGCCUUACCAGUAGGCUUUCGUUGCAAUGUUUUCAUGGAUUAUUGGAUGAGUCUUCCUCUUGAUUGUUUUUUCAGGUUCAGUAACAUGAUGACAUCCGAUUAAUAUCUUGCUGUUCAGGAGGUUUUGACUAUAUGAAAAAUAUUGUUUUCUUGCCAGUGAAGAUUAGCAUGUUUGUACGGCUACCCUAGAGUAAAUUGCCGUAUUCAGAUCAAUUGUUGGAUUAUGUCAUGAACUGCUAAAAGAUAGUGAUGAUCCCUUGAGUCUAUUAUAAGUACCAUUUUAGUUUGAUGUCCAUUUUAUUGAUUUGUUUAUGAUGAUAAUUGAGAAAUAAAGAAGCAUUGUGGCAUAUCAAAUAUUAUCAUACAUG